rnacentral:rRNA from 1 species
UACGGAGGAGGCAAGCGUUAUCCGGAAUUACUGGGCGUAAAGCGUCCGCAGGUGGCAGUUCAAGUCUGCUGUCAAAGACCGGGGCUUAACUUCGGAAAGGCAGUGGAAACUGAACAGCUAGAGUAUGGUAGGGGCAGAGGGAAUUCCUGGUGUAGCGGUGAAAUGCGUAGAGAUCAGGAAGAACAUCGGUGGCGAAGGCGCUCUGCUGGACCAUAACUGACACUCAGGGACGAAAGCUAGGGGAGCGAAUGGG